UGAAGCAACGACUAGAGCAAUAUUCUGAAAGUGAUGUUUGAGAGGUAAUUAUUUUUAUCAAAUAAGCAGUUUCUGAAAUGGGCUGCCCAAGAAAUUAAAAACCUUUGAAUGUAAUUUUGAAAGUAGGAGAAACAUUUUAACAUGUGUUCUAUAUCUAUCCUUGGUACAGAUGAUAUAUCCUCGUUUGAGAGGUAGACUACAUGUCAUACAUCCUUUACAUGGCCUGGUGAGUGAUGUUGGGUAUAAUUUUUUCUUUUCUCUGUUUUUUUUUUUUUUUGGUUAGUGGAUUUUUUAACAGAUGAAUCUCAGGAUAAUGAUCUAUGAUUUAAGAGGUGGAAUUUAAAUGGGUAUUGUUGCAUUUACAGUAUUGUGAGCCUUGACAUGUUUACCUUUUGAAACAAAACUAAAGUUUACCUUCUGCGCAAUUUCACAAAGAGAAGACAAGCUACAAUCGUGUAUACUUACGUGUGUGUGUGUCCUUUAUAUUCCAUUAAUAUCA